GCAAGACUUGAGGGAAUUCAGGAAAGAAACUGAAUGUUCAGAGGUUUCAGUGAGCUGGUUGGAAGUGAGUCCCGAUGGUGGUGAUUAACGCCCAGGACAGUCUGGUGGUGGGUGGCCCGAGCAGGCUCUGUUCCCUUCCACCUGUGACCAGGAUUGGAUUUUCUGGCAGGAGCCCGUGUCACUCCCUGGGGCAGGCAGCUGGGGACGAGAACUGCGGUUCAUACUGUCACUGGGUCCUGGAGCCUCAGCUGCAUGGGUGGUGGCCCUCAGGUUGCCCUGCUCUGCAGGCUGUGAUCAAUGUGAAUAGACAGUACCAGUGACAGGGACAGGGACAGGGACAAGCAACACUGAAGAACUAACACGCAUGGCCUGGAAAUGGGCAGUUGCCUACCCAGUGUCCCUUGCAGCUCUAACAGGACUCCCUUUCCUGCAGGGAUACAUACUCAUCUCUGCAAGUGUGCUGAGUCCCUGCAGCCUUGGGGACAGACAGAAGGCCACACUAUGUCCACAGAGAUUGGUUCCAGUAUGGGCUCCUGGUUCCAACAGACCUUUCAACUGGAGACUUGGGAGUGAACACCUCCCCACUGGUUGCUUGCUCCAGUGGCUGUCUUGCCUGCCUCAUCCUUUGAGCCCCUGGAAUUAGCUAUUCCUGCAGGCCAGACCCACCCUUAAUUUUUUUCAAGCAUGUGAACCAAAAAAAUUUGCAAUCUGUCACCUAUUUUUUUAUGUGUGUGUAUACAUUAUUUUAAACUGGUUAUCUUAUUUUUUACCUUAAAAAUUCCUAGUCAUUUUAGUUAUCUUUAAGGGUCCUGAGUCCAUGUUGAGGCGUGGUGAACUGGAGAGGGCCAGAGGAGAACCCUUGGGUAUGGAUAGAAAAGAAAGCCAUCUAUCUACUCGCUGACUGUUCUCCAAGAGCUGAGACAGAGCAAGUGAUUCCAUUGCAAUGAAUUCUUCUUAUUGCUGUUGUUGAAAUCACGAGACUAAGGGCUACUGAUUGGUGUCUUUAUUUUUUUAUUGACUU
rnacentral:lncRNA from 1 species